rnacentral:rRNA from 1 species
UACGUAGGGGGCUAGCGUUGUCCGGAAUCAUUGGGCGUAAAGAGCGUGUAGGCGGCCCGGUAAGUCCGCUGUGAAAGUCCAGGGCUCAACCCUGGGAUGCCGGUCGAUACUGCCGGACUAGAGUUCGGAAGAGGCGAGUGGAAUUCCCGGUGUAGCGGUGAAAUGCGCAGAUAUCGGGAGGAACACCAAUGGCGAAGGCAGCUCGCUGGGACGUUACUGACGCUGAGACGCGAAAGCGUGGGGAGCAAACAGG